UAAUAAAAUAGAAAGAGAGCCAUGCGACAACAUGACUCUCCAGCAAGUACCAUUUAAGAUGGUAGCCAUAGUUUAAUAGGAUUAAAUA
rnacentral:sRNA from 1 species